rnacentral:rRNA from 1 species
UACGUAGGGGGCAAGCGUUGUCCGGAAUCAUUGGGCGUAAAGAGCGUGUAGGCGGCUCGGUAAGUCCGCUCUGAAAGCCCGGGGCUCAACCCCGGGAGGCGGGCGGAUACUGUCGGGCUAGAGUCCGGAAGAGGCGAGUGGAAUUCCUGGUGUAGCGGUGAAAUGCGCAGAUAUCAGGAGGAACACCAAUGGCGAAGGCAGGUCUCUGGGCAUUAACUGACGCUGAGGAGCGAAAGCAUGGGGAGCGAACAGG